rnacentral:rRNA from 1 species
UACGAAGGGUGCAAACGUUGCUCGGAAUUAUUGGGCGUAAAGCGCACGUAGGCGGCAUUGCAAGUCGGAUGUGAAAUCUUAUGGCUUAACCAUAAAAGUGCAUCCGAAACUGCAGUGCUUGAGUACUUAAGAGGAUCGCGGAAUUCCCGGUGUAGAGGUGAAAUUCGUAGAUAUCGGGAGGAACACCAGUGGCGAAAGCGCUCUACUGGGCCAUAACUGACACUGAGGGACGAAAGCUAGGGGAGCGAAAGGG